rnacentral:rRNA from 1 species
UACGGAGGGGGCUAGCGUUGUUCGGAAUUACUGGGCGUAAAGCGCGCGUAGGCGGCUUUGUAAGUUAGAGGUGAAAGCCCGGAGCUCAACUCCGGAAUUGCCUUUAAGACUGCAUCGCUAGAAUCAUGGAGAGGUGAGUGGAAUUCCGAGUGUAGAGGUGAAAUUCGUAGAUAUUGGGAAGAACACCGGUGGCGAAGGCGGCUCACUGGCUCGUAUCUGACGCUCAGGCGCGACAGCGUGGGGAGCAAACGAGG